GACGAGCGCUGGCGGCGUGCUUAACACAUGCAAGUCGAACGGUAAGGCCCUUCGGGGUACACGAGUGGCGAACGGGUGGGUAACACGUGGGUGAUCUGCCCUGCACUUCGGGAUAAGCCUGGGAAACUGGGUCUAAUACCGGAUAGGACCACUGCCUGCAUGGGUGGUGGUGGAAAGCUUUUGCGGUGUGGGAUGGGCCCGCGGCCUAUCAGCUUGGUGGUGGGGUGAUGGCCUACCAAGGCGACGACGGGUAGCCGGCCUGAGAGGGUGACCGGCCACACUGGGACUGAGAUACGGGCCAGACUCCUACGGGAGGCAGCAGUGGGGAAUAUUGCACAAUGGGCGCAAGCCUGAUGCAGCGACGCCGCGUGAGGGAUGACGGCCUUCGGGUUGUAAACCUCUUUCAGCACCGACGAAGCGCAAGUGACGGUAGGUGCAGAAGAAGGACCGGCCAACUACGUGCCAGCCGCCGCGGUAA
rnacentral:rRNA from 1 species